UCGGAAUCUUGAGAGCGGCGCACGGGUGCGGAACACGUGUGCAACCUGCCUUUAUCUGGGGGAUAGCCUUUCGAAAGGAAGAUUAAUACCCCAUAAUAUAUUGAGUGGCAUCACUUGAUAUUGAAAACUCCGGUGGAUAGAGAUGGGCACGCGCAAGAUUAGAUAGUUGGUGAGGUAACGGCUCACCAAGUCAAUGAUCUUUAGGGGGCCUGAGAGGGUGAUCCCCCACACUGGUACUGAGACACGGACCAGACUCCUACGGGAGGCAGCAGUGAGGAAUAUUGGACAAUGGGUGAGAGCCUGAUCCAGCCAUCCCGCGUGAAGGACGACUGCCCUAUGGGUUGUAAACUUCUUUUAUACUGGGAUAAACCUACCCUUCGUGAGGGUAGCUGAAGGUACAGUAUGAAUAAGCACCGGCUAACUCCGUGCCAGCAGCCGCGGUAAUACGGAGGGUGCAAGCGUUAUCCGGAUUUAUUGGGUUUAAAGGGUCCGUAGGCGGACUCGUAAGUCAGUGGUGAAAUCUCAUAGCUUAACUAUGAAACUGCCAUUGAUACUGCGGGUCUUGAGUAAAGUAGAAGUGGCUGGAAUAAGUAGUGUAGCGGUGAAAUGCAUAGAUAUUACUUAGAACACCAAUUGCGAAGGCAGGUCACUAUGUUUUAACUGACGCUGAUGGACGAAAGCGUGGGGAGCGAACAGGAUUAGAUACCCUGGUAGUCCACGCCGUAAACGAUGCUAACUCGUUUUUGGGUUUUCGGAUUCAGAGACUAAGCGAAAGUGAUAAGUUAGCCACCUGGGGAGUACGUUCGCAAGAAUGAAACUCAAAGGAAUUGACGGGGGCCCGCACAAGCGGUGGAUUAUGUGGUUUAAUUCGAUGAUACGCGAGGAACCUUACCAAGGCUUAAAUGGGAAUUGACAGGUUUAGAAAUAGAUCCUUCUUCGGACAAUUUUCAAGGUGCUGCAUGGUUGUCGUCAGCUCGUGCCGUGAGGUGUUAGGUUAAGUCCUGCAACGAGCGCAACCCCUGUCACUAGUUGCCAUCAUUCAGUUGGGGACUCUAGUGAGACUGCCUACGCAAGUAGAGAGGAAGGUGGGGAUGACGUCAAAUCAUCACGGCCCUUACGCCUUGGGCCACACACGUAAUACAAUGGCCGGUACAGAGGGCAGCUACUAUGCGAAUAGAUGCGAAUCUCGAAAGCCGGUCUCAGUUCGGAUU
rnacentral:rRNA from 1 species